rnacentral:rRNA from 1 species
UACGGAGGUGGCGAGCGUUGCUCGAAUUUACUGGGCGUAAAGCGCAAGUAGGCGGCUCCGUAAGUCUGGUGUGAAAUCUCACGGCUCAACCGAGAGGCUGCACCAGAUACUGCGAAGCUCGAGGACGGGAGAGGAGAUUGGAAUUCCCGGUGUAGCGGUGAAAUGCAUUGAUAUCGGGAGGAACACCAGUGGCGAAGGCGGAUCUCAGGCCCGUUGCUGACGCUGAGGUGCGAAAGCUGGGGGAGCGAAAGGG